UAGGGAAUCUUCCACAAUGGGCGCAAGCCUGAUGGAGCAACGCCGCGUGUGUGAUGAAGGGUUUCGGCUCGUAAAACACUGUUAUAAGAGAAGAACGGCACUGAGAGUAACUGUUCAGUGUGUGACGGUAUCUUACCAGAAAGGAACGGCUAAAUACGUG
rnacentral:rRNA from 2 species